rnacentral:rRNA from 1 species
AUGGUGAAGUAUUGCAUCCAUGCUGAGAUCCCCUUUCUUAAGUUUGAAGAUCCCCACCUCCAGCCAUGGAUUGACUCAAUGCAGCGAACGUUUCAAAUCAAGGGUCGUCACACAAUUCGUGAUGAUGCAGUGAAGAUGUAUAAGGGAAUGAAGAAAGAUAUUGAAGUAGAGCUACAAAAUUUGGAUUCUCGCAUUUGCUUAACAUCUGACAUGUGGACAUCAUCACAGGACUUGGGCUACAUGUGCAUCACCGCCCAUUAUAUCAAUGCAGAAUUCAACUAUAAGAAGAAGACCAUAAGUUUCGCAGAAGUGAAGUAUCCCCACACAGGCUAUGCGAUAGAGGAAGAAAUAGUUCGUUGCUUAACAGAAUGGGGCAUAAGAGGCAAAAUAUUCACUUUGACACUAGAUAAUGCCAGCAAUAAUACUAAUGCAUGUGAGGAGUUAAUAAAAUAUCACAAACAUGAGCUGCUCCUUGAAGGUCAACAUUUGCAUGUCAGGUGUUGUGCGCACAUUCUUAAUAUCUUGGUUCAGGAUGGGAUGAAAAUAAUCCAUGAAGCUAUUGACAUGAUACGUGAGCUGAUGAAGUAUAUUGACUCUUCUCCUUCAAGACUUCAAGAUUUCAAUACAAUUGCAAGUGGGAUGGGUCUACGUGCAAAGAAAGGCAUCUCUGUUGAUACACCAACCAGAUGGAACUCAACCUGGAAAAUGCUUGUAGAAGCAUUGACGUACAAAUCUGUUCUCACUAGUUAUGCCAACAGAAAGAUGAUAGAUUCUCCAAGUGAGGAGGAAUGGGAGAAGGCAAAAGCUAUUUGUGAGUUUCUAAAAGCUUUUGAAGAGCUUACUUUGAUUGUUUCAGCUCAUAGGAAGCCAACUUCACAU